rnacentral:rRNA from 1 species
GGGGAUAUUGCACAAUGGGGGGAACCCUGAUGCAGCGACGCCGCGUGGGUGAAGGAGCGUUUCGGCGCGUAAAGCCCUAUCGGCAGGGAAGAAGGAGGACGGUACCUGACUAAGAAGCCCCGGCUAACUACGUGCCAGCAGCCGCGGUAAUACGUAGGUGGCAAGCGUUAUCCGGAUUUACUGGGUGUAAAGGGCGUGUAGGCGGGACUGCAAGUCAGAUGUGAAAACCACGGGCUCAACCUGUGGCCUGCAUUUGAAACUGUAGUUCUUGAGUACUGGAGAGGCAGACGGAAUUCCUAGUGUAGCGGUGAAAUGCGUAGAUAUUAGGAGGAACACCAGUGGCGAAGGCGGUCUGCUGGACAGCAACUGACGCUGAGGCGCGAAAGCGUGGGGAGCAAACAGG